rnacentral:rRNA from 1 species
AUUGAACGCUAGCGGGAUGCCUUACACAUGCAAGUCGAACGGAGUUGCGAACGGGUGAGUAAUGUAUCGGAACGUGCCCAGUAGCGGGGGAUCACUACGCGAAAGCGUAGCUAAUACCGCAUACUUUUGGAGCGGCCUAUAUCGGAUUAGCUAGUUGGUGGGGUAACGGCUCACCAAGGCGACGAGCCGUAGCUGGUUUGAGAGGAGGACCAGCCACACUGGGACUGAGACACGGCCCAGAAUCCUACGGGAGGCAGCAGUGGGGAAUUUUGGACAAUGGGUGAAACCCUGAUCGAGCAAUCCCGCGUGUGCGAUGAAGGCUUUCGGAUUGUAAAGCACUUUUGUAAGGGAAGCGGUACCUACAGAAUAAGCACCGGCUAACUACGUGCCAGCAGCCGCGGUAAUUC